UGGUCCUUUCUAAUCCCUGACGGUCAGCCUGUGGCCUGCCAGAUUUUGCUUGUGGACCUCAGGAACCUUGCCGGGAGUGAGGGGGGCAGUGUAAGAAUAUGUUGGUCACUGGCAACUUCUGUCUUCCAAUAUGA
rnacentral:snoRNA from 1 species